rnacentral:rRNA from 1 species
CCUACGGGUGGCAGCAGUGAGGAAUAUUGGUCAAUGGCCGGAAGGCUGAACCAGCCAUGCCGCGUGAAGGUCAGUGCCCUAUGGGCGUUAAACUUCUUUUGUGCGGGAGCAAUAAUGGUCACUUGUGGCCAGACGAGAGUACCGUACGAAUAAGCAUCGGCUAACUCCGUGACAGCAGCCGCGGUAAUACGUGGGAUGCAAGCGUUAUCCGGAUUUAUGGGGUUUAAAGGGUGCGUAGGCUGUGAGGUAAGUCAGCGGUGAAAUGCCCCUGCUCAACGGGGUGAAGUGACAUUGAUACUGGCUUGCUGGAAUGCGGAUGCGGGAGGAGGAAUGUGUGGUGUAGCGGGGAAAUGUAUAGAUAUCACACAGAACACCGAUUGCGAAGGCAUCUCACGAAUCCGCGAUUGACGCUGAUGCACGAAAGCGUGGGUAUCAAACAGGAUUAGAUACCCGGGUAGUC